GACGAACGCUGGCGGCGUGCUUAACACAUGCAAGUCGAACGAGUGGCGAACGGGUGAGUAAUACGUGGGUAACUACCUAUUAGAGGGGGAUAACUAUUGGAAACGAUAGCUAAUACCGCAUACUAGUAGAUGGACCUGCGUUGUAUUAGCUAGUAGGUAGGGUAAUGGCCUACCUAGGCAACGAUACAUAGCCGACCUGAGAGGGUGAUCGGCCACACUGGGACUGAGACACGGCCCAGACUCCUACGGGAGGCAGCAGUAGGGAAUCUUCGGCAAUGGGGGGAACCCUGACCGAGCAACGCCGCGUGAGUGAAGAAGGUUUUCGGAUCGUAAAGCUCUGUUGUUAAGGAAGCGGUACUUAACCAGAAAGGGACGGCUAACUACGUGCCAGCAGCCGCGGUAAUAC
rnacentral:rRNA from 1 species